CACGUGGUGCAGUGUCGGAGGUCAUGCUACCUCGACAAUGGAGUUGUAAGAAUUUCUCCUGAAAGUGCGACGGUUUUCUGUGGAUCGGCAACAUUUUCAUGUGGAAACCUUGGGAUUUGUUUUUUAAAUCUAGGUGGCGUUUGAUGUUUUAGGCUGCUCGUUGAGAUCCGCCUAUUUGGUUUUGGGUGAAAAGCCUCAUGCUGGGAGAUGCUGGACAGACAUUUUUGUCAGCGCUGAUGCCCUUUUCCUCUACUGUAAAUCCCAGUGUGUUCCGCUCAUAUCCGUACCUUUCAUUGUACAAAUGUCUCUUUCUCCUACAGAAAACAACGUGAACUCAAAAGCCUUUUUAUAAGGGUGUGUUUUAUGUGUAAGUAUUGACUGUAACAAAGAUGAAUAGUUAAAACCAAUUAAAUAAUGUUGCAGUGGCUUUUUCCACAUAUGCCGAUAAUUGUACAUCAUACAGUCCUAUUCUGAAAAAUAAAAUUUAUGAAAUAUUGUUUAUUUUUUACAUCACGUGUACUAAUGUCAAUGAACGCCUGUUAUGUCAACUCAGUACAAACCUUUAUGCUGCUGUUCGUAAUACUGUGAUUCACAUUUUGCCUCAAUAAAGUUUUGGCAAGUCA